rnacentral:tRNA from 1 species
GGGGGUAUAGCUCAGUAGUAGAGUGCAUGCUUAGCAUGCACGAGGAUGCACGAGGUACUAGGUUCAAUCCCCAGUACCUCUA